rnacentral:rRNA from 1 species
AGAUUGAACGCUGGCGGCAGGCCUAACACAUGCAAGUCGAGCGGCAGCACGGGUACUUGUACCUGGUGGCGAGCGGCGGACGGGUGAGUAAUGCCUAGGAAUCUGCCUAGUGGUGGGGGAUAACGUUCGGAAACGGACGCUAAUACCGCAUACGUCCUACGGGAGAAAGCGGGGGACCUUCGGGCCUCGCGCCAUUAGAUGAGCCUAGGUCGGAUUAGCUAGUUGGUGAGGUAAUGGCUCACCAAGGCGACGAAUCCGUAACUGGUCUGAGAGGAUGAUCAGUCACACUGGAACUGAGACACGGUCCAGACUCCUACGGGAGCAGCAGUGGGGAAUA